rnacentral:rRNA from 1 species
CGGACGAGAAGCUUGCUUCUCUGAUGUUAGCGGCGGACGGGUGAGUAACACGUGGAUAACCUACCUAUAAGACUGGGAUAACUUCGGGAAACCGGAGCUAAUACCGGAUAAUAUUUUGAACCGCAUGGUUCAAAAGUGAAAGACGGUCUUGCUGUCACUUAUAGAUGGAUCCGCGCUGCAUUAGCUAGUUGGUAAGGUAACGGCUUACCAAGGCAACGAUGCAUAGCCGACCUGAGAGGGUGAUCGGCCACACUGGAACUGAGACACGGUCCAGACUCCUACGGGAGGCAGCAGUAGGGAAUCUUCCGCAAUGGGCGAAAGCCUGACGGAGCAACGCCGCGUGAGUGAUGAAGGUCUUCGGAUCGUAAAACUCUGUUAUUAGGGAAGAACAUAUGUGUAAGUAACUGUGCACAUCUUGACGGUACCUAAUCAGAAAGCCACGGCUAACUACGUGCCAGCAGCCGCGGUAAUACGUAGGUGGCAAGCGUUAUCCGGAAUUAUUGGGCGUAAAGCGCGCGUAGGCGGUUUUUUAAGUCUGAUGUGAAAGCCCACGGCUCAACCGUGGAGGGUCAUUGGAAACUGGAAAACUUGAGUGCAGAAGAGGAAAGUGGAAUUCCAUGUGUAGCGGUGAAAUGCGCAGAGAUAUGGAGGAACACCAGUGGCGAAGGCGACUUUCUGGUCUGUAACUGACGCUGAUGUGCGAAAGCGUGGGGAUCAAACAGGAUUAGAUACCUGGUAGUCCACGCCGUAAACGAUGAGUGCUAAGUGUUAGGGGGUUUCCGCCCCUUAGUGCUGCAGCUAACGCAUUAAGCACUCCGCCUGGGGAGU